UACGAAGGGGGCUAGCGUUGCUCGGAAUCACUGGGCGUAAAGGGCGCGUAGGCGGCCAUUCAAGUCAGAGGUGAAAGCCCAAGGCUCAACCUUGGAACUGCCUUUGAUACUGUUUGGCUUGAGACCGGUAGAGGUAAGUGGAACUGCGAGUGUAGAGGUGAAAUUCGUAGAUAUUCGGAGGAACACCAGUGGCGAAGGCGGCUCACUGGUCCAUUACUGACGCUGAGGUGCGAAAGCGUGGGGAGCAACAGG
rnacentral:rRNA from 1 species